CCUACGGGGGACAGCAGUGGGGAAUAUUGCACAAUGGGGGAAACCCUGAUGCAGCGACGCCGCGUGAGUGAAGAAGUAUUUCGGUAUGUAAAGCUCUAUCAGCAGGGAAGAAGCAAGUCGGUAGCUGACUAAGAAGCACCGGCUAACGACGUGCCAGCAGCCGCGGUACUACGUAGGGGCCAAGCGUUAUCCGGCUUUACUGGGGUGAAAGGGAGCGGAGACGGUAUUGCAAGUCUGAAGGUAAAACCCAGGGCUUAACCCUGGGACUGCUUUGGAAACUGGUAGACUAGAGUGCUGGAGAUGUAAGUGGAAUGCCUAGUGUAGCGGUGAAAUGCGUAGAUAUUAGGAGGAACACCAGUUGCGAAGGCGGCUUACUGGACACUAACUGACGUUGAGGCUCGAAAGCGUGGGGAGCAAACAGGAUUAGAUACCCCUGUAGUC
rnacentral:rRNA from 1 species